AUGGUCUCGGAACAGCUUCAUCAAUAUGAGUUGAAGCAAAGCAAGAAGAAGUUGAGGUUUGAAAUUGACUCAAAAGAGUUUGCGGAGAAGGAGAAGCAGAUGAGAGCUGCAGAUGGUGCCAAGGGUGGCAAAUUUGACAAGGUGAAGCAGCCUUCUUUGCAGAAGAAGAGGCUGAGUACUGUUGCUGAGGAAGGUGGUACACCUCGGUGGAGUUCGCGUGUUGCUGGAAUGAAGAAGAAUCUUUGCAAGAGAACUGCUGAAGCUGGUGGAAAGGAUGAUCCUUAG
rnacentral:rRNA from 1 species